GCAGAAUCUGCAUCCUUGUCACAGUACUAGUCAUUGGGAUCCCAUUCUUCAUCCUGGUCAAAAGCUGAAGCCACUUUACUCUUGGCAAAUUCUUCUUCAGUUUCUGACUGUUCCGUGAGAAGGUCAUGUUCAUAAUCAGGCUGAUCACCAUCAUCACUUUUACUCUUUUCCACCCCAGCUGAUUUUAUCCAUUUAGGGCAUUCAUCCUCACCUCCAUAGAGAAAUCUGCCGUCAUCACUUCGUAUCUGUCUGGAAUCUUCAAGGGGAGAUGUUCUGCAUGAGCAUUCAGGAAGCGGAUGCGAAAGAAACAACCUGGGUUUCGAUAGCAUAGACUGCCUGAUAAGCCCAAUUUCACCCAAACUUGAGUUAAGAUGUUCCCUCACGCGAACUGUCCAGUUACGGUUGGGAUGGUACAUGUCCUCACGUGUAAUGUUGAACAGUUCUUGAAUAACUUUCCUGUUUGAGAAAAAAAUCAACAACCAGCCAUUAACUAAGUAGUGAGCUAAAGCCAACAAGAUCAUUUUGAAUCAUUAGCUGUCGAGUAAUAAAUACCUGUCCAGUCUAUAUGUUCGUGAAGAGGGUUUUUCAUAGAGCCUCUGACCCAUUACCAAGCUUGAAAAAUCUGGCAACCCACUACCAUCAUUGUUGAAACCAGGCAAAAACACAUCAGCUUCUACAGAUACCGCAAAGUCAAGUGCAUCCCACAGUAACCUGUGCGCUUGAUUCCUGAGAUCCAUAGGCGACGGGGUUGGUUCUGUAUCGUUCUCUGUAAGCCAACCAUACCACCCUUCUUUUUCGUGCUGGUAGAUAGGUCUGUCUGGAGGAGGAGGGAGAGGUCUAGGCCGAGGACCUGCCUUGUUCCACUCUUCUUUGAGCUGCUUAUCGCUUUUUCUACGAGGCAUUUCGUAUGUAUUUUCUGGAAGAGUUGUCUCGGGACCAACCAAUUCUGAUAAUUCUUCUGUGCUGCAUAAAGAAGUCCGAUCCACUAGAUUAGGGAACAUGGCGCGCAGAGGGAUCAAAACACGAUGGCCGCCAAACAUUUCUGAACCAGCUAAGUAUAUAAUCGCUUUUUGGGAAUAGCCCAAUGCUUUCAAAAGAAUCCCAACCUGCGACAUUUCAAUACCAAUAAACUCUUAGCAUCACAAUAGCCAAUGGUUUCAAGAGACACCAUGAAGGCGCACAUAGAGGGUAUAAAGAUAUAACAAUGAGUCCGUAUUAAGCAUUUGUAGCAUAAUCUGAGAGAAGUCCAGGUUCUACCUCUUCUGGCAUGAGAGGACAUAAGCCAUUGUCCCUGCGUAAGUGCGAGUCUACAAUAAGUUCUUCUGAAAUAAACUUCUGCCUGAUCAUCUGAGCCCGCCGAUACUGAAUGAGUUCACUGUGAAGAUCCUUUAAAAACAGAAGAAACCAACUCCACCGUUUAUAACUACUUCCCAUGUAACUCAAGACAGGAAAAAAAAAAGUAUUUGAUAUAAGCACUUUGUUCUAUCAACGAAUACAGAUGGAGAAGGUUGAAAAAUUUUACCUGGAAAAGCUCAGCACAACCAUGAUAUGCCAAUUUGUCCCUCACUAAGCCAGGAUGAUAAGCUAGGAAGGGUUGACCUGAUUUACGCAACCUGCAAAGAUAAAAUACGUAGCUAAAUUAUAUCAGGGACGGUAAAUAGAGAGUCGAUGGAGAAAUCAUGACGAUAAGUAUAGUCAAGCUAAAUUAGAAAAGGGAAAACCCUGAGGUCCCUGACACUUAUUUAUUAUUGUUCUCAGCUAGGUACUACAUGGUUAAAGAAACAAAAGCUUAUCAUGUAAUGUUAUUUCCCUCCCUCCAUAAUCAAGAGCCAUAACUAUAUCCUGUUUUAGUCCCUUUCGCCAAUUAAUUUUUCUAACUUUAAGUACCUGUCAACCAUCUUCUUGCCUAGCACCUGGAUUUCUGAACGAAGCUGGAGGGCAUGGAAGGCAACUCUACACCUAAGUCUUUGAAGUUCAGGCAUUGAAGCAGGCAAAGUUGACUGAAAACAAGACGGAUUCGUUUAAUCAAUAUAAUAACUUCUUACAUUCAAACAACCAAACCAUGCUAUGACGAGUGAUGGUAGUUUGCAAGCAGAGAGAUAUACACUCAAAGAUCUCUACAGUUUUAGAAAGUUACUGCAUACAAGCAAAGCCACGCAUUACCUGCAAGCAUCCCCCAUCAGAGACGACCAAUCCAAUAACACCAGCUUUUUUUAACUUUGGCAAUACAUCCUCGAGGUAAAACUUUGUUGAUGCAGAGUUUUUGGGCUUAAAAAGAGGGAACUCAUUCCUUUUUCUUGCGGCUUUCAAGUUCUCAGGGAGUGUCUUCGCAAUUAUAACAUCGUUUUUGAGAAAGGAUAUAAACUGCUCUUCAUCAUAAAGAUAGGAGAAACUCUUGAACUUGUUGCUACACAACAUGUAAAAGAAAUACACUAGAGUAAACACAAGUCUGAUACCAAUGCAAAAAGAACAUAGAGUUAGAGGGUACUACCUGAUGCCUUUUGAGCGAAGACUUUCCUGAAGCUCUGGAAUGAUAAGAGUAGCAUUUAGAAGCCUGGAUAUGGUGACAAGAUCACAUAUCUAGAAAAUUUGACAAAGAUGUCAUCAACAUGAACAACAACAAAAAGUAUGAAUUUCAAAACUAUAAAGUCAAGUGAUACGAUACAUACAGAAGAUCUGAUCUUGUCAAAUCCACCAAAUAUCUUCGCAUAAAUGUAGCCGUUGUUUGUUGAACUGGGCGCUGCAAAGAGAAAACAUCAAGAAAAAUAAACAAAAAUCCAAAUAUUCCAAAGAAAUAAAAAAAACUCACAAAAGACCCCAAGAGGCUUCUAAUGCUCAAACAAGUAUUAAACACAACAUACAACAUCCAUAGUGGCUUUCCCAAUACUAUGAUUCAAUAUGGAAAAGAAAAAAAAAACACAGCUGCACUUUAGAGAAAGCAAUAAACAAUGCAGAACAGAACACAUAUCACAAACAAACAAACAAACAAACAAACAAGCAACCCGUGCAAGCAGUACCAGGAUAACUGUUUCUUGGAUUGGCAUAAGGCUGCAAGGACUCCAACGAUCUGACAGGCCGCCAUAAGUGCUUAUAUCUAAAAUCCUGCAACAACAACAGUGAACACAAAACAACAGCUAAAAACAACAUUCUCCAAAACUGAAACCAAAAUCAAUUCUUUUUUUUUAUACUAACCUGUGAACCUAACAAAGAAUCAAAAUCUUGCCAAAGAGUGCCUCUCGCAUAAGACGCCAGCUGUACAGAUGAAGACUUUGUAAUCGAGAGAUGAACAACGAGAGAUCCCACUGAUAAAAUGAGCACCAAGAGUGCAAUCCACUUUAUCCUCGAUCUGAACACCAUCUCCUACUACAAAUCCAGCUCCUUUCUCCAACUAAACAACCCUAAAAUCCAAAAAUCCAAAAUUCAAAAUUACUAAUUUAGAAUCACACCGACAACGAACGAACGAGCUUCUUCUUUAUUUAUUCUUUUUUUCCUUGUAAUUUCAUACCCAAGACGACGAAUUAAAGGCGAGAUCCAGGAUUAUACGCUUUGGAUCUGAUCAGAGGGAUUGUAUCAAGAAGUGGAGAUAUCUCCGCAUCGAAGGUUCCAGGGGGAAGCAAACAAGCGGUCAGAGGAAGUAGUUGAAUUCAAUUUCGAGUCAGAUCCACAGAGAGACAACUCACUGACACAUUCCCAGAAUUCGAAGAACUGAAAUUUAAUAUUUUCUCCUGCUAGAGACAGAGUGAGAGAGAGAAAGUCUGCAUCUUUUUUAUAUAUGAGCUCACACUGUAACUACUAACCGGUUUAGAUUUCGGUUUACGAUUUUCGGUUUAAGAUACAUACCAAUAAUACCCAAUCAUAUCAUCGGGUUAAUAAUUGUCUCGGUUCUGUACGGUUAGUUUGACCCAAACUUUGUCCUCCUACUAAACUGUAAACAGCAAAACCGGCAUCCAAACCCAAAUUGUUUUGCCGGUUCAAACCCAUUGGUUCAGCUCUGACCCCGGUUUGGGUAUUUAUUUGAUCAUGAUUGAUUCUGUAGAUAAACAUGAAAAAAUCUUUUGGAUUUUGCAGUAUAUAUAACUGUUAUUAAACAUAUCUGAGAAAUCUUUUUUGUUUGAUUCCAUCGUUCAUUACGCAAAACUGGCAUUAACAUUGAGAUUUCUAUCUUCACGCCGGCUCUAAUACAUGGCAACAUAAACAAUUGUCAUGAAGUCUAUUAGUUAGUGAAAUUAUAACAAAAAGGUCUAUGAUUAACUAAACCUAAUUUAAAUACAAUAAGAAAAAGAAAAUUGUUUUGCACCAUUCUCAAUUUUCCAUUAACAAAAUCUAAUUUACACACAAAAACUUAUUUUAUAGAGAAAUGCACUAAAUAAAAUUUAAGAAAAAUCGUAUAAAAGGGUCUUUAUUAUAUAUUUAGGCUAAGGUCAUUAAUUUUUUUUAAGACGGCGCUAUCAUAUCUUUCAUAUAAGAAAUGCGAAAAAAAAUGUCAUAGGAUACAAUGUUUUAAAAAUGUUCUUCAGAUGAUGAUCAUCAUUUUUGGAUCUGGGAAGUUACUGUGAGGAAGGUUUGUUCUGGACGAGGGAUAGUCAAACCACCAUGGAAUGAUUAAAACCGAGUUCUUCUUCAGCUUUACUUAGAAGAGCUUGAAACAAAGGCUGGUUCAAGUAAAGAGACUGGCACAAUGUAUCUCUGCUUCUUCUUGUCCUCACAAACGUACACCGCAAAAACCCUUUUGGUGCUGAAGUUGGUUUACUGCUUCCUGCUACAGAGACACCAAGAAUCUUCUUUGCUGCCAAGAAGCCUCUCACCAAAGCCAUUUUCUUGUUGAUGGUAUUGAUUCUGCUGUGGGUCUGUAUAUAUAGGACAUACAAGAAUAGUAUCUCAAGUUAGGUUAUUUUCUGGCUUUGCAGAUAAUGGAUACACUAGCUGAGAUUCAGGAACGUCAUGACGCUGUCAGAGAUUUAGAGAAGAAACUCCUUGACCUCCAACAGGUAAACCUUGCUCUGCUUUACCAAAAUUGUCGGAAUGAUUCACCUUCUGUUUUUGGUUGGUAGGUGUUUCUUGAUAUGGCCGUGCUAGUGGAUGCACAGGGAGAGAUGCUAGACAACAUAGAGAAUAUGGUUAACAGUCUCUCUUCAUUAUCUUUUGAUGAAACACUGAGUUCAGAUUUCUUCAACCCUUUCUUACUCUGUUUCUGCUAUAACAGGUCUCAAGCGCUGUGGAUCAUGUUCAAUCCGGGAACAACCAACUAACAAAGGCACUAAAGAAACAGAAAAGUUCAAGGAAAUGGAUGUGCAUUGCCAUCCUCAUCCUUCUUAUCAUCAUCAUCAUUACCGUUGUCUCUGUUAUCAAACCAUGGACACAGAAACAUGGUGCGCAUGGUGGUGCUUAGAGUUCUCUUCUCCCUGCCCUGCUUCUGAAGCUUUUGUAUACAACAGUUUAACGUAUACAUACAUGUAUCAACCCAUCAAAAAACAUCCUUCCAUUGUCACUAACAAAAUGAUGUAUUCUUUUGAUUGGAUCAAUGAAAGAACUUAACUAUUCUAAUACCAUCUCAGUGAACAUCCCAGUCUAGUGAAUAUGAAUGUGGAGCAAAACAGGAGACAGCAAGUGAAUAUUAAAACUCUGUUGAAAUUUACUUUUAUCUUUCAUAUCUGUAGUGUGUCAAACUCAAAACAAAUCCAGAAAAAAACUAUUGGAGAAAAAGAGACGAAAGAAUCUGAAUAAACCUUUUAUCAGAUUUACAAUGAAUGUGGAAAAAAAAACAAAGAUACCUCCAGCUUCACAUUUGCUUCAUGGGAAGACCUUAGAGAAGGAUGACGCAUAACGGUCGUCCUUUGCUGCGUCAGUCAUCCUUCGCUGCAUAAGGGCGCUUGGAGGCAAUACCAAUAUCUUUGACGUAUAAAGCGUAUGCAACUAAGGAACUACUACCAAAAGAAUAAAACUAAAAAAGCUUAUUCUCAGUAACUAUAGAAAACAAGAAAAAAAACCUCCGUUUGUUUGCUUCUUCGCCUUAUCUGAAGAAUCAAAUGACACCUGACGGCAGAAUCUGCAUCCUUGUCACAGUACUAGUCAUUGGGAUCCCAUUCUUCAUCCUGGUCAAAAGCUGAAGCCACUUUACUCUUGGCAAAUUCUUCUUCAGUUUCUGACUGUUCCGUGAGAAGGUCAUGUUCAUAAUCAGGCUGAUCACCAUCAUCACUUUUACUCUUUUCCACCCCAGCUGAUUUUAUCCAUUUAGGGCAUUCAUCCUCACCUCCAUAGAGAAAUCUGCCGUCAUCACUUCGUAU
rnacentral:lncRNA from 1 species